rnacentral:lncRNA from 1 species
GAAUUUAAUUAAUUAAAUAUUCAAUUUGGUACUGACUGAAUCAGGUUUUGUUGACAUGGGUGAGAGAUUUAAGUUAUUCAGUUAGGAGGAGAGUGAAAAGUGAGUGAUGAAAAAGAGGGAGGGAAAAGGAGAGAGAGCAAAGAGAGAAAGUGAAAGAGAAAGAGAGAAAGGGAUGUGUGAGGAAAUUGACGGAGAAGCUGCCUUGUAUAAUGUAUGAGGAUGAUGCGUUACUAGUUUGUGUUGAGUAGCUAUCCGCGGUACUAAUGCAUCAAAUUGAUAGAUACUACUGCUAAUAUAAUUUCUGCCCUUUUUUAAAAGGUACCCCUAAUGUCGCGGUAACGUGCCUUCGAUUUUUAGUACCUUAAAGGUGCCAACCUGCCCUACAUGCUCUGCUCCGCUCUUCCCACUCUCAUCUUUGGAUUUGAGAGGGGCAUUCACGCCAACAUAACAGCUGAUACCCUUUGAUCAUCACCAACCUGGCAUGCUUGCUAACCCGGUAUAACUCUAGAUUCAUUUGCAUCACUCUAGAUUUUAAAAUUGAAUUCCAUGUAUUUAUUUUAAGUAGGUUUAGAUUAUUAGACUGUGUUCUUUUUUUAGCUCCAACUUAAUUUAGUGGUAUCAUUAUUUUAGAAGUAAAAAUAUUUAAUACAUAAUCUUUUGUAUAAUGUGAUAUUUAUUUCUAAUAAAUUUAUUUAAUAUAAAAUAUAAUAUAAUACAUUUUUUUAUCUCUGAUUUAUUUAUAGAAAAUAUUAUAAUUAAUACAUUUGUAUUAAAAAGUUGGAUUGGUCAGGUUCUGUUUCAUUUAUUAGAUUUUUUUUAUCCAUACAAGGGAAUUUAGGUGCUAUGCUUUAGUAAUAUUUAUAUAUUUUUUUCUUUCUAGCCUAUUGAACUGUUUAUUGUGCUGUAACUGUGAGGUUUAUUACUUAAAAAGUAUAUAUUAUGGUUAAUCAAUCAAAUCAAUGAUUUAGAGGAUAUCCUUUUUUUAAUUUUAUCAGCCAGAGAUAAACAGAUUCAAAGCAAUUAACAAAAGUAUUUGAAGGUUGGGCUUAAGCCCUUCAAUGUAGCCAACACUAGUUCCUCACUAUUAUAAAAGAAAGUACAUAUGAACUACAGUAGUACAUGGAGACAGUUGAAAUUUUUAGUUAAUACAUCAUAUGGUUCUUAGUACACUCAAGUAAUAAGAAAGGUAAUGUCUGCAAAAAAUGUAUACAGUUUUUUUUUCUAUAUGUUCUUCAUUCACUUAUUGUAUAGUAUUAGGACCCCAAUUAUUCAGUUUCCUCAUCCGUCAUAACCAGAUAGGAGAAAUGUGGGGUGGUAUGAGGCCAUGAAAAAAUCUACAGAAGCUAAAUGUAGGUAUACUGAUCAAACUAUUAAGUCAAAUCCAGGAUUGGAUGGAAUAGUUGCAUUUGAAGGAGUUCACCCCACUGAUAUGAGCAAAAAUAUCUGAGGAAUCAACCAUGUCAUCUUCAUCUUUCACAACUAUCUGCAGGGUUAAAAAACUGAAUCAACAAAUAAUUGAGAAGGUACAAGUAAAAGAAAUUUUGUUGUUUUUCACUUGGGCAAGUUGAAUGGAAAGAGCUCUGUUAAGGGUUUAAUAAAUGGAUGAGCCUUGGAAAUCUUACUUCGUCUUCGUCAUCAUCUUCAUGAUUGCUACUUGUAGUUCUAUUGGUUUCUCCAAAGUCAUCAUUCUUUGCAAACCUUCCUCGAACCCGAGGUCGGCUAUCUGCCAGAGUUUUGCGGCAGGCAUACUGCAUAUUUGGUUGCAUCGUUAGUUGAACUGGGAAGCAUGCAAUAUGAAGUGCUUUAUAGCAAGGAAUACCUUACAUAUAUAUGCAAAUGUCACAUCAUAAGAUUUUAAUUUUGUUUGACGAUGAGGCUGUUUUGAAGACGGCAAGGAACUUGAGUGUACCUUAAUUUUCUUGCUGAAGUUUCUUUCAUUUCUUUUCUUCAUGUAUCUAUUGAUCUUUUCUUUCCUUUGCUCAACAGAAAGUUUUCCAACCUUGAAUGAGGAGUCCUCUAAGUUUGAGAUUUCAGGUGUUAGAGUGGCAGAACUACCACCCCCGGAAACUAGUUGCUGACUCUCAGUACCAAGUGCCUAGGAA